rnacentral:rRNA from 1 species
UACCUAACAGCUAGCUUACUCCCUAAAACUCAACAAACAGUAUUACUAACCCCUAAGUUAUUAAACAACAUUAAUUAAAACAUUUCCCCCCCCGAGUAUGGGUGGAAGAAACGGGACCGCGGAGCCACAG